UCGAGCUGAAAGCUGACCUGGAAACAUGUCUGCUGAUGAGGAACUUCAAAGAUGAAAUCUUCAGUUUGGUGAAAGGAGCUCUAUGCCCUAGGUUUGUGAAGGAAUUACUCAUUCUCCAUCUCUGAAGCAGGGAAGCUGAACAGCAGGAACCUCUGCAGAGAUUCUUC